rnacentral:lncRNA from 1 species
AUGUAUGUCAAAGUAAUGGACAGCAGCCACACACGUGCGCACACACACACAUGUGCGCACACACACACACGCACACAUGCAAGCACACACACACAAACGCACACAUGCACACAUGCAUGCACACAAGAACACACAUACACACACACAGGCACACAUGCACACAUGCAAGCACACACACACACACACAUACACACAAACGCGCACACAUACGCACACACAUACACACUGCCACUCUCACUGCCCCCUUCACUGUUCUCCUCACUGCCACUCUCACUGUCCCCCUCAUUGUUCUCCUCACUGCCACUCUCACUGUCCCCCUCAUUGUUCUCCUCACUGACACUCUCACUGUUCUCCUCACUGUCCCCCUCACUGUUCUCCUUACUGCCACUCUUACUGUCCCCCUCACUGUUCUACUCAAUGUCCCCUUCACUGCCACUCUCACUGUCCCCCUUAAUACCACUCUCACUGUCCCCCUCACUGUUCUCCUCACUUCCACUCUCACUGUCCCCCUCACUGUUCUCCUCACUUCCACUCUCACUGUCCCCCUCACUGUUCUCCUCACUUCCACUCUCACUGUCCCCCUCACUGUUCUCCUCACUUCCACUCUCGCUGUCCCCCUCACUGUCCCCUCACUGUUCUAACUGCCACUCUCCCUGUCCCCUUCACUGCCACUCUCACUGUCCCCCUCACUGCCACUCUUGCUGUCCCCCUCACUGUUCUCCUCACUGCCACUCUCACUGUCCCCCUCACUUCCACUCUCACUGUCACCCUUACUGUUCUCCUUUCUGUCCGCCACAUUGCCACUCUCGCUGUCCCCCUCACUUCCACUCUCGCUGUCCUCCUCACUGCCAAUCUCGCUGUCCCCCUGACUGUCCCCCUCAGCGCCACUCUCACUGUUCUCCUCACUUCCACUCUCACUGUCCCCCUCACUGUUCUCCUCAUUGCCACUCUCAAUGUCCCCCUCACUGUUCUCCUCACUGCCACUCUUACUGUCCCCCUCACUGUUCUACUCAAUGUCACUCUCACUGUCCCCCUCACUGCCACUCUCCCUGUCCCCCUCACUGUUCUACUCAAUGUCACUCUCACUGUCCCCCUCACUGCCACUCUCCCUGUCCCCUUCACUGCCACUCUCACUGUCCCCCUUAA